rnacentral:rRNA from 1 species
CGAAGCGAAUGGAUUUAAGAAGCUUGCUCCUUAUGAAGUUAGCGGCGGACGGGUGAGUAACACGUGGGUAACCUGCCCAUAAGACUGGGAUAACUCCGGGAAACCGGGGCUAAUACCGGAUAACAUUUUGAACCGCAUGGUUCGAAAUUGAAAGGCGGCUUCGGCUGUCACUUAUGGAUGGACCCGCGUCGCAUUAGCUAGUUGGUGAGGUAACGGCUCACCAAGGCAACGAUGCGUAGCCGACCUGAGAGGGUGAUCGGCCACACUGGGACUGAGACACGGCCCAGACUCCUACGGGAGGCAGCAGUAGGGAAUCUUCCGCAAUGGACGAAAGUCUGACGGAGCAACGCCGCGUGAGUGAUGAAGGCUUUCGGGUCGUAAAACUCUGUUGUUAGGGAAGAACAAGUGCUAGUUGAAUAAGCUGGCACCUUGACGGUACCUAACCAGAAAGCCACGGCUAACUACGUGCCAGCAGCCGCGGUAAUACGUAGGUGGCAAGCGUUAUCCGGAAUUAUUGGGCGUAAAGCGCGCGCAGGUGGUUUCUUAAGUCUGAUGUGAAAGCCCACGGCUCAACCGUGGAGGGUCAUUGGAAACUGGGAGACUUGAGUGCAGAAGAGGAAAGUGGAAUUCCAUGUGUAGCGGUGAAAUGCGUAGAGAUAUGGAGGAACACCAGUGGCGAAGGCGACUUUCUGGUCUGUAACUGACACUGAGGCGCG